rnacentral:rRNA from 1 species
GACGAAGGGGGCUAGCGUUGUUCGGAAUUACUGGGCGUAAAGCGCGUGUAGGCGGUUGCCCAAGUCGGGUGUGAAAGCCUUGAGCUCAACUCAAGAAAUGCACUCGGUACUGGGUGACUAGAGGACCGUAGAGGAUAGUGGAAUUCCCAGUGUAGUGGUGAAAUGCGUAGAGAUCGGGAGGAACACCAGUGGCGAAGGCGGCACCCUGGACCAGCACUGACACUGAGGCACGAAAGCGUGGGGAGCAAACAGG